GAUGAAUGCUGGCGGCGUGCCUAAUACAUGCAAGUCGUACGGAAAGGCCCUUCGGGGUACUCGAGUGGCGGACGGCUGAGUAACGCGUGGGAACGUGCCCCAAAGUGAGGGAUAACGCACCGAAAGGUGUGCUAAUACCGCAUAUGGUCUUCGGAUUAAAGCUUCGGCGCUUUGGGAGCGGCCCGCGUACGAUUAGAUAGUUGGUAGGGUAAUGGCCUACCAAGUCGACGAUCGUUAACUGGUCUGAGAGGAUGAUCAGUCAGACUGGAACUGAGACACGGUCCAGACUCCUACGGGAGGCAGCAGUAAGGAAUCUUCCACAAUGGGGGCAACCCUGAUGGAGCAACGCCGCGUGCAGGAUGAAGGCCCUCGGGUCGUAAACUGCUUUUAUGAGUGAAGAAUAUGACGGUAACUCAUGAAUAAGCACCGGCUAACUACGUGCCAGCCGCCGCGGUAACAC
rnacentral:rRNA from 1 species